rnacentral:rRNA from 1 species
UGCGUAGGCGGAAUGAUAAGUUAGUGGUGAAAGCCCCCGGCUCAACCGGGGAACUGCCAUCAAUACUGUCAUUCUUGAGUAUAGUUGAAGUGGGCGGAAUGUAUCAUGUAGCGGUGAAAUGCUUAGAUAUGAUACAGAACACCGAUAGCGUAGGCAGCUUGCUAAACUAUAACUGACGCUCAGGCACGAAAGCGUGGGGAGCAAACAGGAUUAGAUACCCUGGUAGUCC